GAUGAAGAACGCAGUGAAAUGCGAUACUUGGUGUGAAUUGCAGAAUCCCGUGAACCAUCGAGUCUUUGAACGCAAGUUGCGCCCGAAGCCAUUAGGCCGAGGGCACGCCUGCCUGGGCGUCACACGUCGUUGCCCCCCCCAUCUACUCCUUCGGGAUUGCGGGGGGCGGAUGAUGGCCUCCCGUGCGCCUCGCCGCGCGGUUGGCAUAAAUGCCAAGUCCUCGGCGACGCACGCCACGACAAUCGGUGGUUGCGAAACCUCGGUUGCCCGUCGUGUGCGGUCGUCGCGCAUCGAGGGCUCGAAAAAAUUGCCGGGUUCCGGCUCGGCUUUCAACGCGACCCCAGGUCAGGCGGGGUUACCCGCUGAAUUUAAGCAUAUCAAUAAGCGGAGGA
rnacentral:misc_RNA from 1 species